GGGCUUGCCUCAGCAGCGUGUACCCUAAAACUGAAAUGACACAGAGAGGAUUAGCAUGGCCCCCACGCAAGGAUGACACAAAUUGAUGAAGUGUUCCAUAUUUUG
rnacentral:snRNA from 1 species